rnacentral:rRNA from 1 species
AUUGACCGCUGUCGGCCUGCUUUACACAUUCAAGUUAGACGGUAACACGCCCCAAGUUGCUGACGUGAUGCAACCAGGUGUGUGAUGCAUCCGCACGUGCCCAGUCGUGGGGGAUAACUACUCGUAAGAGUAGCUAAUACCCCCUACGAUCUAUGGAUGAAAGCUGGGGACCGUCAGGCCUCGCGCGAUUGGAGCGGCCGAUGUCAGAUUAGUUGGUUGGUGGGGUAAAGGCCCACCAAGCCAACGAUCUGUAGCUGGUCUUAGAUGACGACCAGCCACACUGGGACUGAGAAACGGCCCAGAAUCCUAAGGAAGGCAGCAGUGUGGAAUGUUGGAAAAUGAGCGCAAGCCUGUUCCAGCAAUGCAGCGUGCAGGAAGAAGGCGUACGAGUUGUAAACUGCUUUUGUACGGAAAGAAACGGCAAUGGUUAAUACCCGGAGCUAAUGACGGUACCGUAAGAAUAAGCACCGGCUAAAUACGUG